GUCGAGGGGUAUAUGUCUUCGGAUAUAGAGACCGGCGCACGGGUGCGUAACGCGUAUGCAAUCUACCUUUUACAGAGGGAUAGCCCAGAGAAAUUUGGAUUAAUACCUCAUAGUAUAGUGACUCGGCAUCGAGAUACUAUUAAAGUCACAACGGUAAAAGAUGAGCAUGCGUCCCAUUAGCUAGUUGGUAAGGUAACGGCUUACCAAGGCUACGAUGGGUAGGGGUCCUGAGAGGGAGAUCCCCCACACUGGUACUGAGACACGGACCAGACUCCUACGGGAGGCAGCAGUGAGGAAUAUUGGACAAUGGGCGCAAGCCUGAUCCAGCCAUGCCGCGUGCAGGAUGACGGUCCUAUGGAUUGUAAACUGCUUUUGUACGAGAAGAAACACUCCUACGUGUAGGAGCUUGACGGUAUCGUAAGAAUAAGGAUCGGCUAACUCCGUGCCAGCAGCCGCGGUAAUACGGAGGAUCCAAGCGUUAUCCGGAAUCAUUGGGUUUAAAGGGUCCGUAGGCGGUUUAGUAAGUCAGUGGUGAAAGCCCAUCGCUCAACGGUGGAACGGCCAUUGAUACUGCUAAACUUGAAUUAUUAGGAAGUAACWAGAAUAUGUAGUGUAGCGGUGAAAUGCUUAGAGAUUACAUGGAAUACCAAUUGCGAAGGCAGGUUACUACUAAUGGAUUGACGCUGAUGGACGAAAGCGUGGGUAGCGAACAGGAUUAGAUACCCUGGUAGUCCACGCCGUAAACGAUGGAUACUAACUGUUGGAAGCAAUUUCAGUGGCUAAGCGAAAGUG
rnacentral:rRNA from 1 species